rnacentral:rRNA from 1 species
AACGAACGCUGGCGGCAUGCCUAACACAUGCAAGUCGAACGAGACCUUCGGGUCUAGUGGCGCACGGGUGCGUAACGCGUGGGAACCUGCCCUUAGGUUCGGAAUAACUCCCCGAAAGGGGUGCUAAUACCGGAUAAUGUCUUCGGACCAAAGAUUUAUCGCCUUUGGAUGGGCCCGCGUUGGAUUAGCUAGUUGGUAGGGUAAAAGCCUACCAAGGCGACGAUCCAUAGCUGGUCUGAGAGGAUGAUCAGCCACACUGGGACUGAGACACGGCCCAGACUCCUACGGGAUGCAGCAGUGGGGAAUAUUGGACAAUGAGCGAGAGCCUGAUCCAGCAAUGCCGCGUGAGUGAUGAAGGCCUUAGGGUUGUAAAGCUCUUUUACCCGGGAUGAUAAUGACAGUACCGGGAGAAUAAGCUCCGGCUAACUCCGUG